UGAGGAACAUGACCUUCGGCGGGGGAUAGCCGGCCCAACGGCCGGGUAAUACCGCGUACGACCACAUGGGGACAUCCCUGAGUGGUGAAAGCAGCAAUGCGCCGAUGGAGUGCCUCGCGGCCUAUCAGCUAGUUGGUGAGGUAACGGCUCACCAAGGCGACGACGGGUAGCUGGUCUGAGAGGAUGGCCAGCCACAUUGGGACUGAGACACGGCCCAGACUCUACCGGGAG
rnacentral:rRNA from 1 species